AACGAACGCUGGCGGCAUGCCUAACACAUGCAAGUCGAACGAGACCUUCGGGCCUAGUGGCGCACGGGUGCGUAACGCGUGGGAACCUGCCCUUAGGUUCGGAAUAACUCCCCGAAAGGGGUGCUAAUACCGGUUAAUGUCUUCGCACCAAAGAUUUAUCGCCUUGGGAUGGGCCCGCGUUGGAUUAGCUAGUUGGUAGGGUACAAGCCUACCAAGGCGACGAUCCAUAGGUGGUCUGAGAGGAUGAUCAGCGACACUGGGACAGGGACACGGCCCAGACUCCUACGGGAGGCAGCAGUGGUGAAUAUUGGACAAGGGGCGAAAGCCUGAUCAGCAAUGCCGCGGGAGUGAUGAAGGCCUUAGGGUUGUAAAGCUGUUUUACCCGGGAUGAUAAUGACAGUACCGGGAGAAUAAGCUCCGGCUAACUACGUG
rnacentral:rRNA from 1 species